CAUAAUUAUUUUUUGUGUUAGGUCAAUUGUUAAAUGCUAAAAUGUGUCAGUGUGCAUUUUGUAUUUAAUUGGUAGAAGGGCGUUAGUGUAGGAAUUUGACAUUGUUUACAUGUGCUGGUUUUAGUGGAUGGCUCAGAAUUUUA